AUUGAACGCUGGCGGCAGGCUUAACACAUGCAAGUCGAGCGGGGUGAUGGUGCUUGCACUAUCACUUAGCGGCGGACGGGUGAGUAAUGCUUAGGAAUCUGCCUAUUAGUGGGGGACAACAUCUCGAAAGGGAUGCUAAUACCGCAUACGUCCUACGGGAGAAAGCAGGGGAUCACUUGUGACCUUGCGCUAAUAGAUGAGCCUAAGUCGGAUUAGCUAGUUGGUGGGGUAAAGGCCUACCAAGGCGACGAUCUGUAGCGGGGCUGAGAGGAUGAUCCGCCACACUGGGACUGAGACGCAGCCCAGACUCCUACGGGAGGCAGCAGUGGGGAAUAUUGGACAAUGGGGGGAACCCUGAUCUAGCCAUGCCGCGUGUGUGAAGAAGGCCUUAUGGUUGUAAAGCACUUUAAGCGAGGAGGAGGCUCUUUUGGUUAAUACCCAAGAUGAGUGGACGUUACUCGCAGAAUAAGCACCGGCUAACUCUGUGCCAGCCGCCGCCGUAA
rnacentral:rRNA from 1 species